rnacentral:rRNA from 1 species
CCUACGGAUGACAGCAGUGAGGAAUAUUGGUCAAUGGGCGCUAGCCUGAACCAGCCAAGUAGCGUGAAGGAUGACUGCCCUAUGGGUUGUAAACUUCUUUUAUAUGGGAAUAAAGUGCAGUAUGUAUACUUCUUUGCAUGUACCUUAUGAAUAAGGAUCGGCUAACUCCGUGCCAGCAGCCGCGGUAAUACGGAGGAUUCGAGCGUUAUCCGGAUUUAUUGGGUUUAAAGGGAGCGUAGGCGGGUUGUUAAGUCAGUUGUGAAAGUUUGCGGCUCAACCGUAAAAUUGCAGUUGAUACUGGCAUCCUUGAGUACAGUAGAGGUAGGCGGAAUUCGUGGUGUAGCGGUGAAAUGCUUAGAUAUCACGAAGAACUCCGAUUGCGAAGGCAGCCUGCUGGACUGUAACUGACGCUGAUGCUCGAAAGUGUGGGUAUCAAACAGGAUUAGAUACCCUUGUAGUC